rnacentral:tRNA from 1 species
GCCUGGGUGGCUCAGUCGGUUGAGCGUCCGACUUCGGCUCAGGUCAUGAUCUCACAGUCUGUGGGUUCGAGCCCCACGUCAGGCU